AUAUUGGUCAAUGGGCGAGAGCCUGAACCAGCCAAGUAGCGUGUGGGACGAAUGCCCUAUGGGUUGUAAACCACUUUUGCAGGAGGGUAAAAUGCUUCACGUGUGGAGUAUUGCAAGUAUCCUGCGAAUAAGGACCGGCUAAUUCCGUGCCAGCAGCCGCGGUAAUACGGAAGGUCCGGGCGUUAUCCGGAUUUAUUGGGUUUAAAGGGAGCGUAGGCGGGGAGUCAAGUCAGUUGUGAAAAGCCACGGCCCAACCGUGGUCGUGCAGUUGAAACUGGUUCUCUUGAGUGCGCACGAGGACGGUGGAAUUCGUGGUGUAGCGGUGAAAUGCUUAGAUAUCACGAAGAACUCCGAUUGCGAAGGCAGCCGUCCGGAGCGUUACUGACGCUGAGGCUCGAAGGUGCGGGUAUCAAACAGGAUUAGAUACCCUGGUAGUCCGCACAGUAAACGAUGGAUGCCGGCUGUCGGCGACAGAAUGUCGGUGGCCACGCGAAAGUUUUAAGCAUCCCACCUGGGGAGUACGCCGGCAACGGUGAAACUCAAAGGAAUUGACGGGGGCCCGCACAAGCGGAGGAACAUGUGGUUUAAUUCGAUGAUACGCGAGGAACCUUACCCGGGCUUGAAUUGCAGAUGACGUUUCAAGAGAUUGGAAUUUCCUUCGGGACAUCUGUGAAGGUGCUGCAUGGUUGUCGUCAGCUCGUGCCGUGAGGUGUCGGCUUAAGUGCCAUAACGAGCGCAACCCUUGUCCCUCGUUGCCAUCAGGUAAUGCUGGGCACUCCGUGGGUACUGCCAUCGCAAGAUGUGAGGAAGGUGGGGAUGACGUCAAAUCAGCACGGCCCUUACGU
rnacentral:rRNA from 1 species